AUUGAACGCUGGCGGCAUGCCUUACACAUGCAAGUCGAACGGCAGCACGGGAGCAAUCCUGGUGGCGAGUGGCGAACGGGUGAGUAAUAUAUCGGAACGUGCCCAGUCGUGGGGGAUAACGCAGCGAAAGCUGUGCUAAUACCGCAUACGAUCUACGGAUGAAAGCGGGGGAUCGCAAGACCUCGCGCGAUUGGAGCGGCCGAUAUCAGAUUAGCUAGUUGGUGGGGUAAAGGCCCACCAAGGCGACGACCUGUAGCUGGUCUGAGAGGACGACCAGCCACAGUGGAACUGAGACACGGUCCAGACUCCUACGGGAGGCAGCAGUGGGGAAUUUUGGACAAUGGGCGCAAGCCUGAUCCAGCAAUGCCGCGUGCAGGAUGAAGGCCUUCGGGUUGUAAACUGCUUUUGUACGGAACGAAACGGCCCUUUCUAAUACAGGGGGCUAAUGACGGUACCGUAAGAAUAAGCACCGGCUAACUACGUGCCAGCCGCCGCAGUAG
rnacentral:rRNA from 1 species